rnacentral:misc_RNA from 1 species
UUGCCUUGCUCGAUAGCUUCAUAUAUCUAUAUCUUUAUAUGUAUGUACGUGUGUAUAUAGCUGAGACUAUAGCUACGCCACCGAUGUGCAAAUAUUUUGAGCUAAAACAUAUACCUUUGUGAACUGGAUAAAUACGCAAGAGCACUUAGUGUCGCCAAAGUGUGUGAAUAAUCGGUGCGAACGUGGGAAUCGCGCUGGCGUUGCAAGUUCGCAGUGCAGUUGUUGUUGUAACGUCCAUGUGGAGUGUCAAUUAUGUGGAAAUAUAUUUACAAAGAUGCCCCCUGUGCGUGUACGUGUGUGUGAGUGAUUCUCCUGGCACUGAAUGUCACUAAAAGAGAGCGAGGGAGAGACCGCGAGUGUGGGAGUGGAAGUGGAAGUGGGGCUGCUCUCUUUCCAGUGCGUGUAGAUCAGUUACCGCCAACAAUAACAACAACAACAACAGCAAUAACAGCAGCAUCGGCAGCAGCAGCAAUAACAAACAAACAAACAAGCAAGCGACAAUUCACAUUCAUUCCCAUUCAUUGCUGCGAUUAUCGCCAGUUGUGCUUUGCUCUUUCACCACGCACGAACACGAACCAGUGGGUGAAAGGAAGUGAGAGUGGAGAGUGGAGACCGGAGAGCGGAAAGAGCGCGGAGAGUGUCGCGUGUGAACCGUAGGAAAAUGAGCGGGGGGCUGCGGAGGCCGAAGCGAAUGAAGUGGAAGCAGCAACAGUCGAAAAGUUCGCUCUGGGCACGCCCCCUUAUGACGCCCCCUGUGACGCGUUAUCAGCGGACACCCAACAAACACAACAAACACAAAGACCUGACCAAAAUCCACACAAAAUGGCGAUAAACUCGAGUGCCAGAGAAUGAGAAACGCCGCGGGCCCAAAAAGUUCGUUCCCCAAAUAAAAAGGAGCUAAACAAACUCGUUUCUGCCCCACAACAACACCACCCAUGCCCCCCUAAACCCCCGGAGAUCCCGCACCACAGAACCCACCACAAGCAGCGAUAAGCAUCCGAAGAUUUGGGUGGCCCAGUCCACAAAAAACCCCGCACCAACCCCGAAACAAGCGCCUAAGAUGUGUUCCCGCAACAUUAAGAUCUCGGUGGUGCUGUUUCUCGUCCUGAUACCAAUCUUCGCCGCCUUGCCACACAACCACAACCUGUCGAAGCGCAGCAACUUCUUCGACCUGGAGUGCAAGGGCAUCUUCAACAAGACCAUGUUCUUCCGACUGGACCGCAUCUGCGAGGACUGCUACCAGUUGUUCCGCGAGACGAGUAUACACCGAUUAUGCAAGAAAGACUGCUUUGAUUCAAAAUGGUUUGGCGAGUGCCUGAAAGUGCUGUUAAUACCCGAAGAGGAAAUAUCCAACCUCCAGCACUUUCUGAGAGUAGUGAACGGCUCGCCCAUAUCCUUCAACAUGGGGCCGCAAACAUAACUCUAAGUCCCGCCCACACACCCACACCCACACCCACACCACCCACCACACACCAUACAGCACACACCACACACAGUUGAGAAUCGCUGCGAACAUCGUGGGUUGGAACGGGCAUCCGAGUCCAGAUCCAGAUGCAGUCCCACUACGACCACAAAUGCAGAGCCAGAACACAGAAAUCUAAAAUAUUAAAACGCCCAAAUUUAAUUCGUACUUAUUUAUUACUGUAUGCCUUACAGUUUUUACUAUAUGUGUUUUUUUAAAAACGAAUUAUUUUUAUUAAUUUAUUGAGAACGUUAUGCGUUUGUUGUAAGUAACAUAAUCGGGGAGUGAGAGAUGGGCGAUGUUGAUGAUGAUGAUGAUAAUAAUGAUGAGGAUGAUAAUGAUGAUGAUAAGGUGGAGGAUCGCAGAUCUCGCACUCCCCAAAUAUACAUAGAAGCCGAAGUAUUUAUUUUUAAGUAUUCUUAGCUUGUUUUAUUAUUAUUGCGUUAUGCGGUUUGUAUAUAAAAUAAACAAAACGAAAUCCAUUGUUUUUAAUCUAUGUAAUGUAAAAUGAUAACUUUUAUUUUUGUAUCUGUAUUCUACUGUAAAAUCAGCAUUUAGAGUUUACAUUUUACACGAUUUUCCGCAAGGGCAAACUACAUUGAUAAAGAUAAACCCAUUACGAACACACACCCCCACACACACACACAUACACAUACGCAAUCGAGACCGAAAGUAUUUUGCAAAUGUAUUACACUUACAAUUUUGUGCUAUUUUGUAAAGAUGAAACCCUGAAUAGUGUAAAUCUGUUGGCGCAAAAACGAGAUAUUUGCCUAUAAAGUAUAUGCAUACCUAUCUAAAGCUAAAGCCCUACGUAUGUAUCCGAAUACGAAUACCCUACACACAUGCUUACUAUUAGAGAGAAAAGCAAGAUCGCAAUUUGUGCAAGACACAAACAAAAACCUGGUAAAAACACGCGAAGUACGACUGCAUUACAAAUGCGGCAAUAAAUAAUACAAAUAAACCCCUGUAAAUUAAUAAAGGAUAAUCAUUCGCUGGCUAUUUGAGAGCAUCAAAAUUGUGAUAAAUGAGAAUUUAGAAUGCGAAUGCGCGACGCAGAGCGACCAGAGACCCAGAGACACGAGAAAGUGAUCGCUAUAUCGCUAAAUAGGCGGCGGAGAAUGCCAGAGACACCGCCAGAGAAAGAGAACGCCAUGGAGGAGGCGACAGAGACAGACAGACUGCAGCUGGCGAUUUGCGCGCGUUUCUGGCGCGACUAAAAACGCCUGCUUACCGUUUUUGUUUUGGCAAGAAUGCUUCGGAUCGCCCUUCUUCAACGCCUGCAUAGAGGCUCUUCAGCUGCACGAGGAGAUGGACAAGUAUAACGAAUGGCGC